AGGACGAACGCUGGCGGCGUGCUUAACACAUGCAAGUCGAGCGGAAAGGCCCUUCGGGGUACUCGAGCGGCGAACGGGUGAGUAACACGUGAGUAAUCUGCCCCUAGCUCUGGGAUAGCUCCGGGAAACCGGGAUUAAUACCAGAUACGACCACUUUAGACAUCUUCUGUGGUGGAAAGAACUUCGGCUAGGGAUGAACUCGCGGCCUAUCAGCUUGUUGGUGAGGUAACGGCUCACCAAGGCGACGACGGGUAGCCGGCCUGAGAGGGCGACCGGCCACGACUGGGACUGAGACACGGCCCAGACUCCUACGGGAGGCAGCAGUGGGGAAUAUUGCGCAAUGGGCGAAAGCCUGACGCAGCGACGCCGCGUGGGGGAUGAAGGCCUUCGGGUUGUAAACCCGUUUCAGCAGGGACGAAGCGAAAGUGACGGUACCUGCAGAAGAAGCGCCGGCUAACUACGUGCCAGCAGCCGC
rnacentral:rRNA from 1 species